GAAAAAUGAGGGAAAAAAAAGAAUCACAAGUUGCACAUUGGUUUAUGCCAUAACUUUGGAUUCUCCAGAAUUGCAUAUUAUAGGGCUCCUUUUGUUUUCAUUCUGAUACUGCGUUGAAUAUAUACUUGGAAGGAAUUGUUGGUUAGUGUUGAAAUAUUGGGUGCAAAUCAGUUGGGUUACUUGGAGAUAAUGAUGGCCUGAAGAAGGGUAAAGUUAUAGUGGGGAGUAUAUUAUGAUCACUAUAUUUGUUUUCUAUUUCAUCAUGUGCCUGGAAUGACAGGAAUAAAUACAUAUUUCAUGGUUUUGGAUAGGGAUUAGGUCAUCAACAUAAUUUUUUGCAAGUUAUUAUUAGGUUUUCCUUGCCGAUAUUCUCUUGUCAGAACAGCAAGCCUGACUCGUCAUUUGAAUGUGUAGAAACUGUCCUUGGUCAAGGUGGGGAGUUUUUCUCCUUAUGAAUGCUGAACAUUUGGUUUGGCCUUUCUUCCCAGAUCUUGGCCAAUUGACCCUAUUGCGAUUUGUCAUCAUAGAUUUCUUUCCUCCUUUACCAUUACCCAUUUGAUGAUGAAAAUGAACCUUCUUUGCUCAUGUUUUAGUUACAUUGAGUGUCCUAGUUUAACAUUGUUGGAGUUGCUGACCUCAUCUGCCUAAUGAUCAUAGUUGCUUCAUUUGAGUCUGUUAUUUAAGAUGAACUGAUACAUCUGGUUGGUAUGGAAGUUGCUAUCAUAUGAUCUAAAAAUAUUUGAAGAAUAAAAGUUAAU
rnacentral:misc_RNA from 1 species